rnacentral:rRNA from 1 species
AAACCAGCACCUCAAGUGGUCAGGAUGAUUAUUGGGCCUAAAGCAUCCGUAGCCGGCUCAGUAAGUUUUCGGUUAAAUCUGUACGCUCAACGUACAGGCUGUCGGGAAUACUGCAGGACUCGGGAGUGGGAGAGGUAGACGGUACUCGGGAGGAAGUGGUAAAAUGCUUUGAUCUCUCGAUGACCACCUGUGGCGAAGGCGGUCUACCAGAACACGUCCGACGGUGAGGGAUGAAAGCUGGGGGAGCAAACCGGAUUAGAAACCCGAGUAGUCC